AUUACCUUUUCCUCUCUGGUCACCGUUUGACUGCCGGAGCUGGCCGCGUCCCUCGGUUGCAUCUCGAACACCGUUCUGAACAAAUUUUCCGCGGUCAUGGUCAAGAAGCCUAUUUCCGCGUUUGGAUGCAACCCGUACAGGAUGAACGAGCAGAUGAAUCGCUUACCUGGUGCCAACAUCAAUUCUCCAUCGAUCAAUUCGGGCUGCAUCAAUUCUUCGAGAUCGCCCACGUUGAAAGGGUAGAUCUUAUUCCAACCCUGAGGACCGAAUUUCCUCCGCUCCGCGACCACCGCGUGGAAGUAGCAAAGGGAAAAUAGAAUCACCUUGAACUCCGCCUCCUUGCUGCACAUCUCCAACGUUUCCUGGGUGAAAUUGUCCAGAGCUUUGUGAAGAUUCGCCUGCAUCCCCGUGGGCGGCUCGUUCGUGAUCUUGAUGGACGACUCGAGGAUCCCCUGAGGUAUCAUUCUCGUUUAUAUAUAUAUAUAUAUAUAUUUUUCCACUAAUCUCUUAAUCUGUUUUAUCACAUACGAACGAGAAAUAACGAUUAAUCGAUUACUUGGGGGAUGAUGUGUCCUGCCGGUGUACCGGCUGGUUCGGCGCUCAUAAACACCCUGUAAUUCUCGUGGGAACCGUCCGCCGCUACCUCCAACUUUUUCUCCAAUAAAGAAUGAAGCCAUCCUCCGGCUGCAGCGAGAGAUCCGCCGCGGCCUGCUUCACCAUCUUCUCGAACUCGGCGUCUCGUUUCCGCGGGACAUCCAACGCGGGGAACAAAUCGGCUAUCAGGCCCAUGAACACGGGCAGAUCGUCGGAUAUCACUUUGGGAAUAUUGAAAUCUCGAAGGGCUCUCAUCAGCACUUGCUCCUCUGGCCUUCCCGGAUCUCCCCUCUUCAGACUUCCGGCGACCACAAGAACGGAUUUUAUCGCGCGCAAUCCCCAAUCGUAGUGGUCCUGCUUCGACAACAGCUCUUUGCACAACGUGUACAAGAAUCUCUUCGACUCACCCGAUACGCGUCUCGGCGAAGGAGCAGCCGCGUCAUCGAAUUUCAAUCGGGCCAUGGAAUCGAACAGUUUCGUCAGAUGCUUGGCCACCACCUCGGGCUGAUUUCCAUUCGACAGGAUGUCCAACAGAUCGCUGGACGAAACGAAAUAGAACCUCGGGAACGCCAAACGUUUCGUCUCCAAGUAUUCGGCCAACGCUUUCUCGCAGAGGACCAAUUCCUUUUCGAGGAUGUCCAGGGAGGCCGCAAGCCCAUCUUUAUUCGUCGCUUCAACUACGUUCAACGUCCUCCCUAGUUCCUCCGUCAUUUGCUUGAACUCCUUGUCGAUCCUGUCGAACCUCUCGGCAUCCGUGGGCAAUUGUCUGCGUAUAUCCUCGGACGAGGUGAAGAUACUUUCCAGAUGCGUCCAAGUUCGUUGCACCUCGAACCAGAUCGUGGUCACUUGGUCCGCGAUGCUCAACUUCCGCUGCCAACUGGACACCUCUUCCAGAAAAUGGGCUAUGAACUUGGAGGUGAUGAGAUUUUGCAACUGGACCUGUACGGAGGAGAUGGUGGAAGAAGAGUAUCGAUAUGGAUUGGGUCUGUCGUUUGGAUUUGGAAAGUUUUUACCUGGUUUUCUUCCAGAGUUUCGAUCAGUUCCUCGCUGGCUCUUAUUAAGGUGGCGCCGGUUCGAGCGUGAAUUUCUUUUUCGAACUCCAUUUUCGACCAGAUGGCGUUCAAUUCCUUCAUGUAUCUCUCCAUUGACAUCUCCUUCACGGCUUUAUCAACGAUGUUCUUCACUUCUUCCUCGCAGUCGUGCAGAUUCAGCUCGAGAAGAUCGGCCAAUGUGGUAGACUCGUCCAUGACGAAUUUUACCUUAAGCACACUCUUCGUUGACUAUUCACGUUUCUUUUAUCGUUCGAAAGCUCGAAGUGUUGAAUGAAUGAGUUUGAAAAAAAAAAAAAAAGAAACGAAGCAAGGUGUAAGCGAAGAAUUAAACAUUUCUCGAAUCACAAGAUCGAAUUUAUUAUUGACGAAUGGAAUACAGCGAUGAAACGAUACAAUGAGAAUAUAAUAGAAAAUUAUUAUUGGACGAUGUACGUGACGCAUGCAUUGCAUAUUAAUUGAUAAUUUAUCGUUCUAAUUCGUGCUCGAAUUAAUUUUAGAAUUAAGUGCACGUUAUUUACAGUGGACUUACGGUCAUUUCUGGAGUCAUGUUGCCCAAUUUCUGUAACACCGAUAGCGUAUAUACAGCGGUGCAACUAAUUAACUAACAUGUUGGUGAUCAUUUCCAUCGAAAUAUCUUAAUCUUUGACUAAUUAAAAAAUUUCGUUCAAAUUUUUUAAAAAAAAAUUAAUAAAAAUAUUCUCGCAAAAAAAAAUAUAACGAUCUUUAUGGAAAAAAUGGACAAUUUUGUUGUACAAAAAGUUAUUAUGUUAUUAAAUCGUUUUCAAAAUCGCGUAAAA